rnacentral:lncRNA from 1 species
UUUCAAACAUUUAAUUCCAGACUGUACACACUACUGCUCAAUCAACUAAACCAAAGUAAGCACAACUUAAAUUGUACUGCACUAUCAAUGUAACGUUCUAGGCUGUGGUAGCAGUAGCACCAGACAAGUUCUGCUGAGGCUUUCCAGGUGACCCUUCUCUCUCGGAAGAUGACUUGCUCUUCUUGUCAGAAGAAUCGGGGCCCAGGUCAAGAACUUCAAUGAGAUGUUUCUUGCCAAAUGGGGGUGGCCCGAUUAGGGCUUCAAUAUCUGCAUAGUUGAG